rnacentral:lncRNA from 1 species
CCACCGAUCAGAAAGCCGUACGAAACGCAAGCUUUGAACGUCUGUUUAUCGCACCAUCGACAGAAGGCGCGAUGUGAGCUCCCGUGGGAACAGCAGCCCUUUGUCUCGUAACGGUGCCGUCCAGACUGGCCAUGAGACCAGCGAAUUUGCUGUAGAAACAGCCAUCUGGGAGUGGCUGCGUCACGCUCCUGCCAGGCACAGAACUGCCAUUGCCAAGGACUGUGCCACUGAACAGCCCGGAUAUGUGUGACAUGGUUCCCUCGGCCUG